rnacentral:rRNA from 1 species
UGUCAGCAGCCGCGGUAAUACGGAGGAUGCGAGCGUUAUCCGGAUUCAUUGGGUUUAAAGGGUGCGUAGGCGGACUAUUAAGUCAGUGGUGAAAUCCUGCAGCUUAACUGCAGAACUGCCAUUGAUACUGAUAGCCUUGAGUUUGGUUAAGGUAGGCGGAAUGUGUAAUGUAGCGGUGAAAUGCUUAGAUAUUACACAGAACACCAAUUGCGUAGGCAGCUUACUGAGCCGACACUGACGCUGAGGCACGAAAGCGUGGGGAUCGAACAGGAUUAGAUACCCUGGUAGUCCACGCCGUAAACGAUGAUUACUCGCUGUUGGCGAUACACUGUCAGCGGCUAAGCAAAAGCAAUAAGUAAUCCACCUGGGGAGUACGGCCGCAAGGUUGAAACUCAAAGAAAUUGGCGG